rnacentral:rRNA from 1 species
CGCGUAGGCGGUUUGUACAGUCAGACGUGAAAUUCCUGGGCUCAACCUGGGGGCUGCGUUUGAUACGUGCAGACUUGAGUUCGGAAGAGGGUCGUGGAAUUCCCAGUGUAGAGGUGAAAUUCGUAGAUAUUGGGAAGAACACCGGUGGCGAAGGCGGCGACCUGGUCCGAUACUGACGCUGAGGCGCGAAAGCGUGGGGAGCAAACA